UUUUUAAUUAAGCAUUGAAUAGUUAUGCUACAAGUUUCAGAGGUGGUUCUUUUUCUGGGUAAUGUAAAAUGCAACUUGAAUACUGGCAUGGGCUUUCAAUUUGUAGGAAUUUUCUUGUCUCAUUGGAAAAUGGAUCCAUAAAUGCCAGAGGACAAGUAUCACUGAUUCACACACACACAAGUAGAGAUAAAGUUAAUUAAAACAAAGUAAUCAUAGAAUACAGG
rnacentral:misc_RNA from 1 species